rnacentral:lncRNA from 1 species
UACUACGAGAGUUAGUUAAGUAUACAACAAUAACAUGUAUAUCAAAUAUACCUGAUUUUUCCUUGGCCGCCUUCUUAUCAGCCAAAUACUUGGGGCAGUUGCGCUUCGAGUGACCCAGUCCCUUGCAAUAAUAACACUCCGUUUCAGGCUUAGGUCCACCCUUGGGUUUCUUCGUCGGAUUGGCAACAGGCUUGCCGCUCUUCUUGGAGUUACCCUUCUUGCCUUUGUCGUUUCUCUUGAAACCAGUGGUCUUAUUGACCAUCAACACUUGAUGCUCUUUCCGGAGUUCUGACUCUGUGACUUUCAGCAUCGCAAAUAACUCGUCGGGUGAUUUGUUCAUCCCUUGCAUGUGUAUAGUUCAACACAAAGCUCUUAUAGAUAGGUGGCAGUUACUGAAGAAUUCUGUCAGUGAUAGCCUCUUGCGGGAGUUCAAUCCCUAGCUCAGCUAGAUGGUUUGAGUACCAUACAUUUUGAGCACAUGUUCACUGACAGACGAAUUCUCCUCCAUCUUGCAAGCAUAGAAUUCAUCGGAGGUCUCAUGCCUCUCGAUCCGGGCGUUCUUCUGAAAGAUAAACUUCAACUCCUGGAACAUCUCAUAUGCUCCAUGACACUCAAAGCGUCGUUGAAGUCCCGGCUCUAAGACAUACAAGACUGCACAUUGAACUACUCAGUAGUCCUCCUUACGUGUUAACCAGGCGUUCAAAACAUCUUGGCUAGCCGUAGCGGGUGGUUCAUCUCCUACCGCAGCAUUAAGGACAUAAUCCUUCUUCCCAACUUGCAGGAGCAGCUUUAGAUUACAAGCCCAGUCUACAAAGUUGCUUCCAUCAUCUUUCAACUUAGCUUUCUCUAGGAACGUAUUAAAAUUCAGGGUUGCUACUGCGUGAGUCAUUGAUCUACAACAC